rnacentral:rRNA from 1 species
GACGAACGCUGGCGGCGUGCUUAACACAUGCAAGUCGAACGCGCCUGUCCUCUGGGUUUCUGGGGGGUGGGUGAGUGGCGAACGGGUGAGUAACACGUGAGUAACCUGCCCCCUUCUUCGGGAUAACGGUCUGAAAGGGCUGCUAAUACCGGGUAUUCACUGGUCUCCGCAUGGGGUCUGGUGGAAAGGGUUUUUUCUGGUGGGGGAUGGGCUCGCGGCCUAUCAGCUUGUUGGUGGGGUGAUGGCCCACCAAGGCUUUGACGGGUAGCCGGCCUGAGAGGGUGACCGGUCACAUUGGGACUGAGAUACGGCCCAGACUCCUACGGGAGGCAGCAGUGGGGAAUAUUGCACAAUGGGCGAAAGCCUGAUGCAGCGACGCCGCGUGAGGGAUGGAGGCCUCCGGGUUGUGAACCUCUUUCGCCCGUGGUCAAGCCGCGACGUGGGUCGUGGUGAGGGAUGUGGGAAAGAAGCG